rnacentral:rRNA from 1 species
UACAGAGGUCUCAAGCGUUGUCCGGAUUUAUUGGGCGUAAAGAGCUCGUAGGUGGUUCGGUAAGUCAGGUGUGAAACCUCCAGGCUCAACCUGGAGACGCCACUUGAUACUGCUGUGACUGGAGUCCGGUAGGGGAGCGUGGAAUUCCAGGUGUAGCGGUGAAAUGCGUAGAUAUCUGGAAGAACACCGGUGGCGAAGGCGGUCAACUGGCCCUCAAC